rnacentral:tRNA from 1 species
GGGGACAUAGCUCAGUGGUAGAGCAUGUGCUUAGAAUGCUUGGGGCCCUAGGUUCAAUUCCUAGCACCA